UGUCACACACACUAAUUAUAAUAAUUAUUCUCGAGAACAAUGCAGCUACCUUAUGCGCGCACGAAACAGCACAAGGCAAAAAUACGUCACAAAAGAGGUUUUUUCAACAAAAAUUUCAAUUAAAUAGUUCAAAUUAAGGACGGAUAGACAUAUUAGUUGGCUGAGUGCGUCAUUCCGAGUACAGAUCACAGGGUCCGAGAUCACUUGUCAGCCUCUCGCACAAAAUGUGGAGAG
rnacentral:lncRNA from 1 species